CCUACGGGUGGCUGCAGUGGGGAAUAUUGCACAAUGGGCGCAAGCCUGAUGCAGCCAUGCCGCGUGUGUGAAGAAGGCCUUCGGGUUGUAAAGCACUUUCAGCGGGGAGGAAGGCGUUAAGGUUAAUAACCUUGUCGAUUGACGUCACCCGCAGAAGAAGCACCGGCUAACUCCGUGCCAGCAGCCGCGGUAAUACGGAGGGUGCAAGCGUUAAUCGGAAUUACUGGGCGUAAAGCGCACGCAGGCGGUCUGUCAAGUCGGAUGUGAAAUCCCCGGGCUCAACCUGGGAACUGCAUUCGAAACUGGCAGGCUAGAGUCUUGUAGAGGGGGGUAGAAUUCCAGGUGUAGCGGUGAAAUGCGUAGAGAUCUGGAGGAAUACCGGUGGCGAAGGCGGCCCCCUGGACAAAGACUGACGCUCAGGUGCGAAAGCGUGGGGAGCAAACAGGAUUAGAUACCCUUGUAGUC
rnacentral:rRNA from 1 species